GAAAAUGUAUCGGCAUGUUUAUUGCUUAGUUACAGCGCGUGCAUUCGGACGCGUCUUUUCGGAUGCGUCUUUAAUCCGCUGUUCACAAGUUUUUGAUUCUUGGUCUGACGUGCAAAAAAAUGGUCCUGACCGGUUUAGAGACUGCAGCGAAUGGUUUAUCACACCUAAUCGAGAUAAGAAUGUCAUUAGGAAAAGAAAAUGUUAUUACUGGCUGAAGGACCAAAAUUGAAUGGACAGAGAACACGGUUGACAAAACUCAAACAGAAGUUGUGUCACUCAGCUACAUUAAAACAUAAAACUGAAGGCAGAAGCAACAAAUACAACAUGUGAAGAAUGAAGCAACAGCGUAAUAAAACUCGGGAGGAGAUGUUUAUGGCAUCAAGGGAAAGAUAUGCCAUUCAGAGGGACAUAAGCAAUAAUCAUGAGGAACUGGUUUCUCUUUAAAAAAAAAAUGAAAUUCUUAAUUGCUCAAUUGUUUCUGGAACUUUUAAUUGAUUUUACAUGUGAUGGUGUUCAGUGAGUCUAUGAAACUUAUUAUUACACAUACUAUCAUGUAAGAUAUAAAUUGUCAUAUGAAUUAUAAUACCAUGCCCAGUUAAUAUAUUGUACUUCCUGAUUAAUAAUAAAUAUUUGUUAAUGUU